rnacentral:rRNA from 1 species
AUUGAACGCUGGCGGCAGGCCUAACACAUGCAAGUCGAACGGUAACAGGAAGAAGCUUGCUUCUUUGCUGACGAGUGGCGGACGGGUGAGGAAUGUCUGGGAAACUGCCUGAUGGAGGGGGAUAACUACUGGAAACGGUAGCUAAUACCGCAUAACGUCGCAAGACCAAAAAGGGGGACCUUCGGGCCUCUUGCCAUCGGAUGUGCCCAGAUGGGAUUAGUUAGUAGGUGGGGUAACGGCUCACCUAGGCGACGAUCCCUAGCUGGUCUGAGAGGAGGACCAGCCACACUGGAACUGGGACACGGUCCAGACUCCUACGGGGGGCAGCAGUGGGGAAUAUUGCUCAAUGGGCGAAAGCCUGAUGCAGCCAUGCCGCGUGUAUGAAGAAGGCCUUCGGGUUGUAAAGUACUUUCAGCGGGGAGGAAGGGAGUAAAGUUAAUACCUUUGCUCAUUGACGUUACCCGCAGAAGAAGCACCGGCUAACUCCGUG